ACGAACGCUGGCGGCGUGCUUAACACAUGCAAGUCGAACGGAAAGGCCCUGCUUUUGUGGGGUGCUCGAGUGGCGAACGGGUGAGUAAUACGUGAGUAACCUGCCCUUGACUUUGGGAUAACUUCAGGAAACUGGGGCUAAUACCGGAUAGGAGCUCCUGCUGCAUGGUGGGGGUUGGAAAGUUUCGGCGGUUGGGGAUGGACUCGCGGCUUAUCAGCUUGUUGGUGGGGUAGUGGCUUACCAAGGCUUUGACGGGUAGCCGGCCUGAGAGGGUGACCGGCCACAUUGGGACUGAGAUACGGCCCAGACUCCUACGGGAGGCAACAGUGGUGAAUAUUGCACAAUCGGCGGAAGCCUGAUGCAGCAACGCCGCGUGCGGGAUGACGGCCUUCGGGUUGUAAACCGCUUUCGCCUGUGACGAAGCCUGAGUGACGGUAAUGGGUACAGAAGCACCGGCUAACUACGUG
rnacentral:rRNA from 1 species